UUAGCAUGAUGAUAACCUUACAUCAGUUCUGCUUCUGAAAAUACAGGAAGAUACCCAACUUACCAAAGCUCAAAUAUCUGAUAC
rnacentral:snoRNA from 1 species